rnacentral:lncRNA from 1 species
CGACUUUGCUUCUCUAGUUUAAAAUUAGCUCUUUCACGAAUGAUGUCUCGCCCAAGGUCUCUUAGUUGAUCAUGCACACACAGUCAGUUAACUUUGACAAUCUUCAUUAACGAUUUCCGUUUGAGGAGUUCAAGAGAAUAUUUAGGGAAAAGCUUACGGCUGGCCCACAUGUAAGUCACAGUUCUCACAUCAAACCCAACAAAGAAGCAACAAACAUCAAGAAAUAUUUCCAUCUUUGGAGGUUCUAAUGCCUCUAAACUAAUGCUCAGCUUACGUUUAACCUCUAGAUUGGGAAUAGUUUUCAACCUUUCUAAUCUUGCCACCCAAAACUUUGGGUCUUCUCCAGCUAAAGAUGAACCUAUAAUCUCUAGAGCCAAAGGAAGAUGACCGCAAAUUUCUAUCACCUUUUUUGAGAGGGAAACGUAUUCUGCUGGGGGAUGAUAUCUUCUAUAGGCAUGCUUGCUAAACAGUAGAAUAGAAUGAUUGAAAUCCAUUUCAGUAAGCUCGUACUUAAAAUCAACAUCUUUGAGAACUUCCUUGUUUCUUGUGGUAAUAAUUACCUUACUUCCUCUGACGUACCAGUAUUCACCCGUCCCUACAAGAGUGUUUAGUUGAGUGUUUUGGUCGACAUCAUCAAGUACAAGUAAAACCUUUUUAGAGGAUAACCUCUCCCUGACCGCAAUAAUCCCUUCAUUAUUAGUAUUGAUGGAUGGCCAUUCCUUUCUUAGGACUUUAGAGAGAAGCUGAUUUUGCAAAAUCACAAUCUUUGUCUCUCGAAUGUUAGACAGGAAGCAACAGUUAUCAAAAUCAGCCGACAAUUUAUUAUAGAUAAUAGUGGCAAGAGUUGUCUUUCCGAUACCACCCAUACCAUGAAUGCCAACAAUCUUUGUUCCAGUGGUCUGUGUACCUAUCUUUUCCAUGAUUUUGUCCACAUGAUUGUCCAUUUCGACCAAGUAAUCAGGUUCUGCCAAGUUGUUCUUUUUUAACUCGAUCAACAGCGUCUGAACAACUUCUUCUGUGAACUCACCUUUGCCUCUGACAAUAUUGAAGGCAAAAGGACCUGUUAAAUCGAGAUGAACAGAAUAAUAUCCACGCUACAAACAAUCAUGAAAAAUAGUAAAUUCGACUACCUCCCGUCAAGUUCCCAUCCUCUUAACGCUCUAACCUUGCUAAGAGCUGUCUUCCACUUCUCAAUAGUCUCAUUAGUGAACCGCUGCUUAUUUUUGUGUAAAGUAAUGGCCUCAUCAUAACUUCCAGUUUGGUAACGAACCUCAGAUGGUGCUAUGUCAUAGAAAAUUGGCAUGAUCUUUCGUCCAAAGUUUUCCUUGCACUCCACCAUUUGGACCAACUCCAUGAGGCACCAUGGACUAGCAGCAUAUCCUUUAGAUAAGAUAGGAAUCGAGAUUUCCGACUGCUCAAUCGCUUAGACAAGCUCCGGGCCAAUCUCUUCCCCAAUGGGAAGCUCUUCAUUAUCUCUAUAUGCCCGUAUUCCGGCAUGAAUGAGGCUGGUGUAAAGGUAAUCGGCAAUGUCAAGCCGAGUGUCCAGUCCUCUAAAGCUCAAGAAUACUUCAUAAUCAGUUCCUGUUGGCUUCUCCAUUUCCUGAAUUUUCAAAGGAUUGGCAAUCACCUGAUAUCCCAAGUGAAAAAUGUUUACCAUGAGAGCGGAGUGAUGAUUAUCACGAUUUCUCUUAGAAACUCUUCUGUUUUAAGUAUCUCUAGGAAGAAACCAAGAUGACAAAUGCACGAGCUUCUUCUGUGCUUUGCACUAGACACCAAAAUAUGUCCAAAUAUUUUAUUAAUAAUAUAGUAGAGAAGUGGACCCCUCUCAAUUCUAAAGGAAGAAAUUUCCAAAGUAUUGCGGAAUUAUAAGCUAUGGUUCACACUUGAAAUUGAUUUGAAAGAAUAACAUUUUGAGAAGAUAAAUUACUAUCAACCUAUAUUCGUCUUAAACUAUUACUUAUGUGAUAAAAUUCCUCUUAAAAGCUGACGUUGAAUGUCCUGUGCACAUCAUGCCUGCUUCUGCUUGUAGAUUGACUAAUUAUCUUAUUGUCAGAUAAGAAAUCAUGAAGAAACCUUCCUCUUUUAUUUUACCAAAACAUAUUUGACAGACAUUCCACGACCCUCAAUUAGUGUUCUCUUGGCCUUAACGGACGCAGGUGAAGAAUCGCUCCCAAUGAAAAUCUCUAAUUGGAAAGGCGAAAUCAACAAAUUACACCGGAGCUACUUCAACCCUCUCCAUUGGUCUAAUUUCUAAAGAGCAUAAACCGAUCUCCAAUUACAGUCAAAUCUUAGUUUAUCAACAUACAGGCACAGGGUCAAAUGGCGAGCAUUAGAAGCUAACGUUCGCAUUUGCCAGAAAGUAUCAGCAUAUCAGAAAAAGAGGGAUGAAUUACUAACCGAUAAUGUAGAUGAAAUUUCAACAGAAAAAAGAAGCAUGAAUGCUAUAAUUGUUUUUCCAGAAAAUAAGUUUGAACACACAGGAGUGCAGGAACAAGAGCUGUACUUUACGGAAGCGUAGACACUAUAGUCUAUUCAAUCUGUCUCUACUGUUGAAUACAGUGUUAAGGGUAUCAAUUUCUGCCUAAGAGCAUUCUUACCGCUAAUCACUGGACAAUAACGUAUGAAUUUGUCGUCUGGAAGUCUCUUAAAGAUACCACUGUCUCUGUUCGCACAGAAAUUAAAAGAAGAAAAAGUCCCAUCAAACAAAUGAAAUCAACAGAUCCACUCAAACUAAUUUAGCCUUUAGAGCCAGCAAUCCACGCGAAAACUCAGAGAGAGAGAGAGAGAGAGAGAGUACGCGGGUGGCGAGCUCGUAAGACUGAGCGUUGUCGAUGAUGGAACCGGACUUGCCUCCGCCGCUGCCGCCCUCCCUCCUCUUCUUCGGAUCGUCGUCGCGAGGGACGCCGCCGCCGUUGAGGAGCUCACUCCAAGGCUCGACACCGCUCUCCUCCGCUUAAGCUUCGUGCGCUCUCUUCUUCUUCGGCAUUCCCGCUCUCCGAUAUCAGAAAGUUUCGAUUUUUCAACACGGUACGAGGUCGACCGGUCAAGGGUUUAGGCGUCGAUCUUGGUGGUGUAUUGCCUUUCAGGAUCUGAGGCCUGACAGUUGCAUAGAUGGAAGUGGAUGAGCAGGUUUUAGCAUGUGAGUAGAGUUAGAGGCUAAAGCUAUUAGCGUUAGACGCAAAUGGCAGUGAUCAAUCACGGAGUCAAUUGAGGAAGGAAUUUGAUGCUGAUCUGAGAGUCCCUCUCUUGUUUCCAUCAAAUCCUGCAUCUAGUUGCAUUACGGAAAAGACCCAAUUCAUUAAAAAUAAGGCAAUAAACGAGAGGAAAUUACCGGAGAUGGAGGGGCUGAAGAUGAACAGUCCGGAUCAAAUGCUGAGAAGCAGACAAAGAUCCCAACAAUUACCGGGAUAGUCAAGGAAUAUUACUGGAUGUGCUUACCCGAUCGGUGUUUGCCCAGUCCGCAUUCCAAGCCGAGAUCAAUGCCCUAAUCUUUGCUCUUCGACGGAUGAUCCAGAAGGGAAUCCAGCUUCAUCGUUUGGUGAUCGAAUAUGAUUGUCUUCAGUUGGUGGAGAUCAUUCGUAUGAAUCAGCGGCUGCCAUGGAAGGACCAACACCUCUUCGCGACCCUCAGCGAUCUUCUGCUUCAAUGCCCUAAUCUCUCGAUACAGCAUAUCCGGCGUCAGGCUAACCUAGCAGCCGACUGGGCUGCUAAAGCCCACAGAGAUGAAGGCCCACCCAUCAACUGGCUUCUUUUCCCUCCUGCUAUUUUCCUCUCUAUUCUAUCUUCUGAUGCUUCGACUCUACUUUGUAAUGUUCCUUAAUAUAAUAUAAGUUCUCUUUAAAAAAAAAAAAAAUCAUUGGGAAUUACGAUUGUUUAUAAAUAUUAUAAAUUGAUAAGUAGAUGACGAAGCACAAAAUAUAAGUCAACUUGAUUAUAUUUAUAAAUUAGCUACGAAUAAAAACAAAUAAAUAUCAGAUUGAUAUAUUGAUGCUAAUUAUUCAUUGAAAAAUUGUGCCAUAACGAUUUUUUUUUUAAACAAUGACAAAUUAAUUUAGAUUUCUAGUAACGCAAUAUUGUACUAUAGCUACUAUGAUUUAUAACACAGUCAUAUGGUAAAAUCUGCAUUAAAGUCAUAAUGCACAUGAUAAAUUACUGAUAGUGUUGGUAACUUACAACAACAGUUUUUUUUUUUUGGUAAAUGGUAAUAAUAUAUUGAGCUUUAACCAACCAAUUUACAAGAUCAUGCACCACAAAACUUACACUCAAGAAGACACAACGUCUAAUCGAGUGGAAGGGCGCCGGACACAAAAGCGCACCACAAAGCAAUCAAAGCAAGCAGGGCCAAACAAGCAGGCCAAGAGAGAAGAAAAAGAAAACCACACGAAGGGCCACGCAGGGCUAGACUCCAAACUACAACAAAACCAAAAGACGCCAAGAGGGCGAGGCACCGACGAAUCCAGAUAGGCCCCAUCAAAAGUGCAGGCUAGCCAGGAGAAGCGGCGAGAGCAGGAGAAGGUACCCGCCAUGCUAGAGCAAGAAGGUCUAGCCGAUCGGCAUAGGAGAAUCGAAAAUAGCAGGGUCAAGGCCCCAGGUCCGUUGUAACCUCCUAUUUCUCGAGCAAUCUUCCACAUUCUUGAAAGUUAAGGCUUUAUCCUUGACAACUUUAAUGAGAUGCUUCUUGAUAGCCGCAACUACGACCGGAUGCUCUCUAAAGAGAAUGUCGUUUCUAUACUUCCAAAUGAGAUGGCAAAGAGCACCGAAAGAGAAUCGACCAAUGGAAUGAUAGAAGUCUUUACCUGAGAGGAAUUUCAUAGCCCACUGCAGAUUUUCCACCCACGUUCUGUUCCUCCACGGGAGGUUACUCCUGGAAGCCCAAAAGUAAGCCAUACUAGCCGUGAUGCAGCAACUGAAGAAGAGGUGGUCAAUAGAGUCUAGCGUGAGCUUGCAAAAGGCACAAACUUCUCUCCCAAUUCUCCCAUAAGACAUAAGGAAGGCUUGAGUAGGGAGACGAUUCUUUAUGAUCAACCAAAGAUUGAAUUGGUAUCUCGGAGUGAUGGCCUUAUUCCAAAUAAAGGAAGACCAAUCCACCCUUGCUUUCCUUCUCCUGAAAAUAUGCCAAGCUGAGGCGACUGAAAAGAGAUCAGACGAAUUGUCACUCCAAGUAAAUCUAUUCGGGCCGUCGGAAAGGAGCGGAAGGGGCUGGCUCCAAGAAUCUAAUACAGUCCUGAAGACUUGACCUGCAAAAGAGAAUAGGUUUGCAACAGUUGCACACCUAGGAAGCCCCGAAUCCAAUAUAGUUUGCUCUAAACAAAUAAACUCCAGCGGACCUCUUUGAUGCCAAUGGUCAAACCAAAGGGAAACCCUUCGCCCAUCUUCAAUCCUCCAGCAGAAUUUUAGUCGAAAUUCAGAUCUAAGUUGGAGGAUUUUCUUCCAUGCCCACGAGCAACGUGUCGGAGCCUUUACCACCCAGAAAUUCGUCCAUCUUUUCUGAAAGUUAGAGUGUAUCCACUUGCACCAUAAGGACUCCUUAUCCGUGAAGAGGAUCCAGAUGUGUUUAAGCAUCGCAACCUUGUUGCACUCUUGAAGACUGCGAAUUCCAAGACAUCCUUCCUCCCUUGGGAGGCAUACAUCCUCCCAGGACACUUUAGCUCCUCCCUUUCCAAGGGCAGGACCCUUCCAAAGGAAUUGUCUAAGGAUCUGCUCAAUACGGUCAAGAACCGCCAUAGGAAUAACAAAGACACUGGCCCAAUAAGCUUGAAUAGCAUGGAGCACUGACCUUAUAAGCUGAACUCUCCCAGCAAAGGAUAGAAAGCAAUGAGUCCAGGAUUGCACUCUCGUUGUGAUACGAUCCACUAAGGAUACAUAGUCCGCCUUGCCAAGCCUUGAGGAGAUAAUUGGAGCUCCUAGGUAACGCACCGGCAGCUUCCCUUCCAUAAAUCCAAAGGUGUCCUUGAUCUGACACUUCAAGUCAUCCGAGCCCCCUGCAAGAAACACCUCACUUUUGCUAUUGUUCGGCUUCAAUCCACUCCAAGCGGCAAAUGUGUCCAGGCCAUCCUUGAGGAGCAAGGUGGAGGCCAUAUCCGCACGGCAAAAGAGAAAUACAUCAUCUGCAAAGAAAAGGUGUGAUAAUCUAGUGGCCUUACACCUCCAAGAGAAUUUGAAACCCGGCUGCUCCGCACGAGAAGUGAGGAUCCCUGAGAAGACUUCCAUAACCAAGGUGAAAAGAUAAGGAGACAUAGGGUCACCCUGUCGAAGGCCUCGGCUACUUGGGAAGAAUCCAUGGAGCUCCCCAUUCAAGGAGAUAGAAAACAUAGGUGUGCAUACACAAACCAUGAUAAGACGAAUAAGAUGGUCUGGGAAAUGAAAAGCACGUAAAACCAGCUCCAGGAAGUCCCAGUCUACCGUAUCGUAUGCUUUCUGAAAAUCCACCUUGACAGCACAUUUGGGAGCGAAUGGCUGAAGAUGGAACCCUGCAAAUAACUCCUGAGCAAGGAGAAUAUUAUCCCUAAUCCGCCUACCCUUGACGAAUGCAUUCUGAGAAGGGCUGAUGGUGUCCUGAAGCACUGCAGCUACACGGUUGGCUAAGACCUUGGUAAUACAUUUAUAGAUAGUGUUGCAGCAAGCAAUGGGCCUAUAAUCAUUUACCGAGGUAGCAUUAGGCACCUUUGGAAUUAACACCAAGAUGGUGGAAUUAAUCUCCCUUAGAAAUCUCCCCGUAACAAGGAAAUCCUUUGCUGCUUCAAUGACCAAGGGUCCAACAAGGUCUCCAUUGCUAUUGAAGAAUUCGACACCAAACCCAUCCAGCCCCGGGGCCUUCUCACAGGGUAGAGAGAACAUGGUAUCCUUAAUUUCCAUCUCCGAAAAUGGGCGGGCGAGAGAAGCGAUUUGAUCUUCCGUGAGCGGACAUCGGAUAACUUGCUGCAAGUCUCCCAACUCCGGCCUAAGAGGGAGGGUACGUGGCGCAAACAGCUCUUUAAAGUGAUUGACAAAUGUGUCUUGGACAUGGAUCGGCUCAGUGACAAGAUUCCCAUCUCUAUCAAGAACCGAGAUAAUCAUAUUCCUCAUUUUCCUUGUAGUCACCGAAUGAUGAAAGUACUUAGUGUUCCUGUCACCAUUCUCAAGCCAACGAAUUCUGGAUUUCUGUCUAAAGAAAGCCUCCUCCUGACUUUUCAAUUCUAUGAAGAUCCUAUGAUGACUCUUCUCAAGCUCCGCCAAGAGGAUGUUGGUCAGAUCCUGUUGAAGAUCCACUUGCGCUAACCUGAAAUCAUUCCUGGAUUGAGCAACCCUCUCGGAUAUGUUAGAGAAGGAGCCUCUAUUCAACUGCUUGAGACGACCCUUAAGAGCUUUCAACUUGGUGACCAAUCUAUAAAUGGGCACUCCUCCUCCCGGGGCCUCCCACACCUGAUUAACAAUGGUCUGAAAGGAAGGAUGCUCCAUCCAAAAGUCAAAGAAUUUGAAGGGCUUCCUUCGCAUAGCUGGUUGGAUAACCUUGACUACCAUAGGGGAGUGGUCGGAAAUACCGGAAGUCAGAAAAUUCGCUUCCGAAUAAGAGAAAUGCAAGCUCCAUAAAUUGUUCACUAAUACCCGGUCAAUCUUCCUCAUUUUCCGAUUAGCCCCCGAAGACGUCGACCAAGUAAACCGGAGCCCCACAUAUCUCAAAUCCUCAAGCUUCGCCUGAUGCAGACACUGAUUAAACUCAUCAAAAGAAGGAGGCCAGGCGUUGGAACCGCCAAACCUAUCGGAUGGGUCCCUUAUGGCGUUGAAAUCUCCCGCCACCAUCCAGGGAAGGUCAUAGGUGCAAGAGCUCAUUCUGAUCAAGUCCGGCCACAGAGGCCUCCGAGAAACAAAAGAGUGCUUGCCAUAAACAACCGAGAUGCAGCAGCAGAGACCCGACGAAAUAUGCUUGACUCUACCAUGGAUGGCCUGAUUAGUGGAGGAAAUCACCUCAAAAUUAACCAGUGAGGGGUCCCAACCAACCUAUAUCCUGCCUCCCGGAAUAGAAUCAUAAUUGGCAAUCCAAGACCACCCAGACAACAGCCCCGACGACAGGGGACCAAAGAGAUACUCCGGGACUUUAGUUUCCAAUAAGCCGACCACACAGAGGCCGUUAGACUGAGCCAAUUUACGAACCUCGGCUCUCCUCAAAGGAUCCAUAAUACCUCUAAUAUUCUAGAAACCAAAAUACAUGUAUAAACUAUGUACAGGCUACUCUACUCUACACAAAGAAAGACAAAGGAGGCAAGGCCUACCUCUGUUUCUGAGGCUUGCGGCAAGAUGCUCACGACGCUCCAACGAUCUUCUUCGGCUCAGGAUCCGGGGCUAGAGUAAGCAACCUGUCCUGAAUGGUCUCCACACUUGUCACGGCCAAGGGCGAAGGAUGAAACGGUGACUCAGGGUGGGAGAUGUCCUCAUCAUCCGAUGAGUCGUCGGGGGCCUCCACAUCCGAGCCACCAGGGGGCUCCACCUCCGAUUCACUCGAUUCAUCCGUAUCCGAGUCGUGAUCAGCCCUCAAGAAGAGAAUAGGGGGCGGCCGGUAUCCCGCCGUGAGAGAUAGGACGAUUUUUGGGGGAGCACUAGAGCCCCUAACACACUUGCGAGCAGAGACGGGGUGAGGAGGAGCCACAGCAGGUGGCCUAUCCCGAGAGAAAUGCGGAUGGACAGGGGCGAGAUGAGGAGAAGCCGCAGCAGGCGGAUUGCCCGUAGAAUGCUGGUCAGCGACUGUCGAAGAGGAGGAGGAGGAUUCUCCCGUCUUGGAUCCCUUCUUCUUCUUUUUCUUUUUCUUAGCCUUCUUCCCUGGUUGAUUCUGAGCAGGCAGAGGAGCUGGAUUCACUUGAGGAGGAUCCCUGUCCUCUACUGGAGCGGUUUGCAAUGAAAUCGGGGCGGGCUGUAGACGAACAGGGUCCACCUCCGAGUGAGGUGGAAUACAGAUGCCUCCUGCAGCUUGAGGCGGACCAAUAGCAGUUUCUGACCUUCGCACAAUCUACUCCGACACCUCUUCAACUGGGGGAGGAGGGGACGCCCUCUGUGGACUCGGAGGAACCACAACCGAAGGGGAUGGAGCGGCUGGUGGAGUAGGUGCAAUUGAAGGCUGUCUUGCUGGACGCCGAGCAGCCUGUUUUGGAUUCGGAUUGCGCCCAGGGGCUCUCUGUUCCUGAGGAGGAGCACGGCAAUUAUGGCCAAAAGCAUUGCAAUCCAAACACACCACUGGGAGCCAUUCAUAUUCAAUGUUAACGAACCGCGAAACUCCUUUCAAAGUGACCUUGGCCAUCUUUAGUCUUGGCUUAUCAGGCGUGAUCUCAACACAAAUUCUCGCGAAAGAUACCAUCUAUAUUUGAUCAGUCCGAUGAUCAACAUAUAGCGGCUUCCCCACCACACUCGCUAUCGCACUCAUUGCCGGCACCGUCCAACACUCGAACGGCAAAUUCCGCAACCGAAUCCACACGGGAAUGGCGGAUUGGUCUUCUCUCUUAAGGUCCAUAAGAGGCUUCCAUUGCCGAAGUAUUAGCGGCACCCUUGCAAUCGUCACCGGCCCAUCUUCAAGGAUUUUCCUCCUAUACCCGGGAUCCGGGAUUUGGAGGAAUAAAAUCCUUGAUCAUCGGCGAAGAUCUCCCCAAUUCUGGAGCCCCACACCUUCCUCAACGAUUGCUCUAUCAAGCCAAAAGGGAACUUUCUUCCCCCCACCAGAUAUCCGACCAAACAAUCAUUCCACUUUGGGUCCAUAGCAUCAAGGGCUUCGUUCGGGAGGUUCACAACCGCUUCUCCAUCCACAAAAGUGGGUGGAACAUAGGUUAAUUCCGAUCCUUUGACCGCCAACCGAGCCACAUUUGCCCAAGAACGUGCCGGGGUAUCAUGGUGACCCGCCAGAGGCUAAAGAGGACGUUUAGAGGCCGAGCGUCUGCGACUUCUUCCUCUUGAUUGGCGUGGCCUUGAUGAAUUCUGCCGACCUCUCAUCCUGUUCGGUUGUGGAUGACCAGAGGAGGUCGCCACAUCAAUACCAUGCUAAGCCAUAGGCAGAGCAUCCCUAAGAGGGGAAGUCGGAUGCCCCAAUGGGCUGACAGCCGAAGAACGGCUAGAAGGGGCGAUUCCAGCCAGAACAGGAUCUGCAGGCAUUUUCACAAAUAGCUGGACUGCAUCUCCCACUCAACCGAAUAAAAGACCAUCAAGAACUAGGGUGCGAAUCUGCCAAUACUUUAAGCGCCCCCCCCCCCCCGAUACCAGAGGAGCCAGCAAACUCGAACAAAUCGCAGCACAGCACACCAGCACCGAAUUCACACCAGCAUAGAAUCGAGCAAUACUAUUCAGCAGAAGACGAACAGCUAUUGGGAAGGGGUUGCAAAAUCGUUCGGUGGAAACGUGAAGGGAACUGAACUGAAGCUUUCUUCCGAAAAUCAGCCGAAGGCACCGAUCUAAACUCCUCAAAUGAACAAAAGAACAGCCGGAAACCAGAGGAGAAAAACUGGGCAGAAAUUCGUAACCUAAGCUAGACAAUUUCUCUGCACACAGGCCAUCUUAUGCGAAACCGAUCGGUGGAAACGUAGAGGGGCCUGAGCUGAAGCUUCCCUCCGAACAUCAGCCGAAGACAACAAUUAAAGUUCAUUAAAAUGUUGGUAAAAUUCUGAUGGUGUAAGCAAUUUACUUACAGAACUGGUAAAAUUCCAGAAGAAUUUGUAAUUUGCUAAAUUAAUGAAAAAUUGAUAAAUUUCAGAUAGUAUAGGUAUUUUACUACGGGUGUACCUAACAAGCAAGAACCGGUCCUUUUUUUUUACAAGCACGAUUGCCAGCAAAAUUGCAAUUCCACCAACAGGGAAGACUUUUCAAUUCUCAAGUCCUGCGGGACCGUAGAAUUUUGCCAAAGAUUCAUUCGUCUCCGCCUCUACGACAAAAACUUAAAAGCCCACCUAAAAUUUCAAAUGGUGAAACUUGAAAUGCAAUAAAGCACAUGUAAAAAUCUGUUUUGAGUUAUCAAAACUAAAGAACCUUUGCAACCAUUGCAAAUGAUCAUUAACCGGAUGAUUAGCCCCUACUUCUUCAUUUCUUCAAUGUGGAAAUUUUACGGGAAAUCAACAACAAUUCUGUGAAUAUGGAUAUGGUUGCUAAUGUCUACUUAAAUUCGUGACAUUGAAUGCAAGACAUUCUCAGUGUACUGUCUCAAGAACAUCAAUCUCUGCAAAUGAAUCCUGGAUCAAGUCAUCUUCAAUCCUUGAUCAAUUUCACCGAAAGGCAAAAAUUGCCGUUCAUAUCAAAUGAGGCGACAAUGCCGAAAGAGUGCUACUACCAAGGACGGAUAGAGCUGCCGCUUUUCAAAGAAAUUAUUACAAGCAAGGGAAAUUUCAAAUUGCCUGCUUAGAAGAAUCCAUUUGGAAAUCAUCUCUCAACUCUUAAUACGUUUCUAAACGAUUUUCUCCAAGUUGCCUCUAAUUGAAGAUUCAAUUUUUUUAAGUUCAAAUCUGACAGGAAGUUUUUCUGCUUGUCGUAGAAAUAUAUUGAUAUUCACAUCACUUAGUCAUACAAGAACUUUAUAUUACAAACAUGGGAUGUCUUCUCAAAUAGGUUGACAAAGUGAAUGUUGCUCAUUCAUAUGAAAAGUUGAGGUAGGUAGUUGAUACAAGGUAGGUAGUUGAUACAAUCCGAAGAUGAGGUCAGCAAUUUGGAAUAGAGGUAGGUUGAUACAAUCUCCCUCCCUCCCUCCUGAAGUAGGUAUCCAAAGUGAGAUGACAAUCAGAAAAGAACAAGCGUAACGAAGAGAGAUGAGCAACAUCACGCCCUCGUGGAACAGAACGAAGCGCAGGAAGAAGUGGUCACAAUCCCAGAGGGAGAUCCCCGCCAGGUCGAUUCACACAUCAUGCUUCCACUCGGGGUUGCCAUCGCAUUCCUUAACGGACAUAGGCUGCGUUUGGUUCAGCAUUUGCAAGAGGCUUUGAGUCCAAUGCAAAUGCUGAAAGCCCAAAGCUACUUGGAAAAAUGCAAUUAUGUUUGAUAAAUAAUUUCAGCAUUCGGCGAAAUGCUGAAAGCCCAAAGGUAAUCCAUAUUAGCUUUGGGCUUUCAGCACUAGCUUUGGACUUUCAGCAUUUUGAAGGCAAGUUGAAAGCUAAAAGACAACUUCAAAGUUGAACCAAACGCCCCUUGCUACUGGUUCUAGGCAAGCUUCUUGCUCGAGGGUCGUCAUUGACGAUGGAGGAAGAAGGAAAAAAUAAAUAGAGUGAGAAGAGAGACACAGUAGGAGGAGAAAAGAAAAAGGAGAAGAAAGUCAAAAUUUCUGAAGAAGGGUCCCACCUGUACAUGUGGCCAUCGAUUUACGUUCUCAAGUAUAUCCUAAAUGGCACAACGUAUUACCCUUCCAAGUUCUCUUGUCGGCCUUGCCAAUUUUUUCAGAUCUCUGUACUUAUCGAAUUCCAAAGUCUACUCGAACUUCUCAGAUUCACCUAUAUAAAAACUUGCCAGAUUCUUGAAGCUUGAAGAAUCAGAUAACUUUUGCAGAGACCCACAGUGAUAAAUAGAAAGCCUCUCCAAUGAUUCUAGCCUAUCUUGAAUCUCAACCAAACCAAGACAAUUUACUAGAUUAAGUAGCUCAAGUUUCUUGCAGUUGGUCAAGUCAGGCAACUUCACUAAGGACGGAAGAUUCCUAAGAUUUAAGUACUUCAAGUGCCCCAAAUCUUCUAGGCCUCGAAUCUCUUUUAGCUUCCAACAGCUAGAUAUAAGGACUUGUUCUAUAUUUUGAAGCUUAAUGGAUCGGGCAACUUUUCGAGAGAUUCACAGGACAUAAUAUAAAGUAUCUCCAACGAUUCUAGCUGACCUCGAACCUCAACUAGUGUAGGACAAUUUAAUAUCCACAUUCCCGUGAGCUUCUUCAAGUUUGUCAAGUCAAGCAACAACUUCACCAGAAAUGGAAGAUGAUCAAAAUGAAGCCAUUUCAGGUUUUUCAAAUGUGCAAGGCCUUGAAUCUCAAUUAGUUGUUCACAAUUAUUGACUUCCAAUUUUGAUAACUUUUCCAAAUACGAAAGAUCUAUCAAUUUUCCAUUAAACUUCACCCAAAAAUACGGAAGUGUGACAAAUUCUGGGGAAGCCUAGGUAGGUAUUCUAGUUUAUCUACAAGGAGUUCAAGCUUCAUGAGCUUAGAAAGGAGAUUAAAAUAUGAAGGUAGGGUGGCCAGACUAUGACAACACAACAUCAAGGACUCCAGCUUUCUCAAUCCUCUGAUCUAAUGGAGGCUUGGAGCUGCAUGGAAUAGGGUUCCAGACAUCAAACCCAACUCCAAAACUCUCAAAAUUAAUAGGUUUGAGAUAUCUAGCAAUCUCAUCACUAACCUAGUUGUAAUGUAUAGAUUGGUCAAACUUUCAGGAAGCUUAGGUACUUUAGAAAUUAUUAUGUCCGAUAAUCUCAAGAUCCUUAGCAAUGUUAGUCUUCCAAUCUCACUAGGAAUUUCCUCCAAAUUUCUACAAUUUUUGGCAUCUAUCUCUUCAAGCUUCUCCAACAUUCCAAGGGCACUAGGUAGCUUUCUUAAGUGGGUGCGAUGCAAUCUUAGUACUCUCAAAUUCUUUGCCAUAUGUAAUGAAGAGAAGAUGUUAAUUCUGGACCAUUUUGAGAUACAGGACAACAGAGUCAAUAUAGCAAAUUAAUUUUGAAAUAAUACCAUACCUUGAGGUGGUUCCAUCCCUCCCAAUCAUUUGUAAUUUUGCUCCGUGAUAGAUCAAGAAUCACUAGCUUCAUAUGGGAAAAUGCGGUCAUCUGGAAAAAGAGAGGAAACUCAUGCCAUAUGAGAGAUAUCUCAAAUUCUAAAGGAUGAGUAGAUUCCUUUGGAACCAGUUGGUUGGAGGAAAAUACUGAAUGAAUUUAUGCCAUGAGAACCAUCUCAACUCCGAAGGAAUGAGUAGAUUCCUCAGGAACAAGUUGGUUGAAGGAAAAUGCUGAAUGAAGUUAGGCCAUGAGAGCCGCCUCAAAUUCAGAAGGAUGGGUAGAUUCCUCCUAAACUAGUUGGUUAAAGAAAAACACUGAAUGUUGUUCAUAUCCAAGUCUCCACACUCCACUUGAAGAAACCUUAAAGUUGAUAGACUUGCAUAUUCUUCCUUCUUAAAGAAGCAUUGAGAUUGAUGAUCAAACGUGAGACAUAUUGCUUCAAUGUUUUAUGUUCCCUACCAAAGCAAAAGAGGGAAACAUAAGUUGGUUAUCAUAUAAUCACCAAUUGAAGGCAUUCGAGUUGAACAUACCGAAGAAAUGUACAUCUUAUUCAUAAUUUGAAAUUAAUUUACAAUAUAAUUUAUAGAUGAGCAUGUGAUCACAGUAACCACAUAAUUAACUUCUCGAUUCAAAUAUAAGCAAAUAAGCAAAGUCAAUGUGUAUAACCCUUCUCUUUGAAUAGGAAUAACAUGGCAAACACUUUACCUCCUUUCUUUUAAGAACAUCAAUUGCUUCCUCAUGAUUCCACACCCGACUUUGCUUCUCUAGUUUAAAAUUAGCUCUUUCACGAAUGAUAUAUUGCCCCAGGUCUCUUAGCUGAUCAUGCACCCACAAUCAGUUACCUUCUACAAUCUUCAUUAACGACAUCUGUUUGAGGACUUCAAGAUAAUAUUUGGGGAAAAGCCAAAGGAAGACGACCACAUAAGAAGCAACAAAUAUCGAGAAAUAUUUCCUUCUCUUAAGGUUCUAAUGCCUCAAAACUAAUGUUCAACUUACUUUUAACCCUUUUAUUGGGAAUAGUUUUCAAUUUUUCUAAUGUGUCCACCCAAAAUUUUCUGUCCUUUCCAGCUAAAAAUGAACCUAUAAUCUCUAGAGCCAAAGGAAGACGACCACAGAUUUCUACCGCUUUUUCCGAGAGGGGGACGUAUUCUGCUGGAGGAUGAUCUCUUCUAAAGGCAUGUUUGCUAAACAAUAGAAGAGAAUAAUCGAAAUCCAUUUCA